UGUCAACUGUAACCCAACAGAAAAUUAGACGAGUCCCUUUCCAAUUCCCCAAAACACACAAACACACAAUCAAAGUGAACAAGAUAAAAAGUGCACACGAUAGAGCUCCGAACAAUAACGACCAAAAACAGUUAGAAACGACAUCUAGGCGAAAAAGAGAAUCCCCAAAAUCAUUACCAAACCAAUGCAUUUUCUCGACGCCACAAAACCGACAUUUUACAAAUUUUACAAAACUGAACCAAGACAACCGAACACCUACGUACGAUUUCCCUGAAGAUGAUUUAAUAAAAAUCGAAACGUCGGAUAAAGUACACAAAUAAGUGUUUGAGCUGCUUCCAACGACUGCAAGCCGAAAAUCCAUCU